GAUUUCUGGUUCGGCGCACUUGGCCCGCUCAGGUCUUCUGAGUGAGUGCCGGUGUGCGCCAUCCAUCCUUCGGGUUUGCCCGGCUUCGGUCGGUGUCAAGCUCGAUCUUUUACUUUGAAAAAAUUAGAGUGUUUAAAGCAGGCUUGCGCUAUGAAUACAUUAGCAUGGAAUAAUAAUUUAGGACUUUGGUCUUAUUUUGUUGGUUUCUAGGACUAAAGUAAUGAUUGAUAGGGACAGUUGGGGGUGCUAGUAUUCAGCGGCCAGAGGUGAAAUUCUUGGAUUCGCUGAAGACUAACUUAUGCGAAAGCAUU
rnacentral:rRNA from 1 species